GGUGGCCCCGCAAAACUGCAGGUCGAAAGGUAAAAGGAAGAUUUUGCCUGUAUGCUGAGAGUGGCGGACGGGUGAGUUAUGCCUUGGAAACUGCCUGAUGGAGGGGGACCGGACUGGAAACUGUUGCUAAUACCGCAUAACGUCGCAAGACCAAAGAGGGGGACCUUCCGGCCUCUUGCCAUCGGAUGUGCCCAGAUGGCAUUAGCUAGUGGUGGGGUAACGGCUCACCACGGCGACGAUCUGUUCCUGGUCUGAGAGGAUGACCACUCACACUGGAACUGAGACACGGUCCCGACUCCUACGGGAGGCGUCUUUGGGAUU
rnacentral:rRNA from 1 species